GCCUCGGGACCCGUUGCCUGGACCCGUGCUGCCGGCCUUUGGCAGGCGUCCGAGCGCUGCACAGCCGCUGGGGCUCAGCACAGACUACGGCUUUUCCCAGCCGCACCCACGAGGUCCCCUCGGCGCUGGGAGAAUUCCUUAGCUGGCUCUCGCAGGGUGCCCUGGACUCAGCAGCUUCUCGGCCGUGCUCCUCCACACAGUGUUGCUGGACGUCCGAGGAGCCCAUGCCCAGAGCUGGGGGGAAGGGGCAGCCCGGAGAACGCCCCCUCCCUUUGCGCUUGCCAGCGGGCGGGUCAGAGACCGAGGGGAGCCCCCCUGCAGGCGUCUGGGCAAAGCCACGUGGACUGUGCAGCGCUGGGAGCUGAUCUCCCCCGGACCUGGCCCAUGCAGUGCGGCGCCGGGCUGCUCCCCAGAACUGCAGCACGGCACGGACGGGGGCCCGAGGGACGGCUUGCUGCCUGAUCUGUCCCGCUCCCCGUGGCCUGCCUGGCGUCAGGGCCCGCCAGCUCUUCCCCAGACCCGGGACCCCGAC